AUUCCAGCUCCAAUAGCGUAUAUUUAAGUUGUUGCAGUUAAAAAGCUCGUAGUUGGAUUUCGGGUGGGUACCGCCGGUCUCCCACUGGGUAUGUACUGGCGUGGCCCGCCUUGCUGUCGGGGACGAUCUCCUGGGCUUUACUGUCCGGGAAUCGGAGUCGACGAUGUUACUUUGAGUAAAUUAGAGUGUUCAAAGCAAGCCUACGCUCUGAAUAUAAUAGCAUGGGAUAACACGACAGGACUCUGGCCUAUCGUGUUGGUCUGUAGGACCGGAGUAAUGAUUAAGAGGGACAGUCGGGGGCAUUCGUAUUCCAUUGUCAGAGGUGAAAUUCUUGGAUUUAUGGAAGACGAACAUCUGCGAAAGCAUUUGUCAAGGAUGUUUUCAUCG
rnacentral:rRNA from 1 species